GGGUACUCUCCAAUCACGAACAUGAAGUGUGGUCCUACCCUUUUCCUGAUUGCGAUUGGACCCUACCCAUGUCACUCACGACUGUUCAUUUCUUGUUUGUACUUUGUUUUUGUGCGAGUGUUAGCGGAGAUAAAUAGAUUAUGUAUUGUCCGUAUUGUGGGAAGAGGUUUCAGUCACUGCCAAGAUUCUGCGACGAGUAUGGGAAAUCACUGACCUUCUUAAAGGAAAGUGGACAUGAAGAGGACACCACUGGCCCAACUUCAGCUGCGGCAGCAGCUCUGAAUAUGCCAUCCCUCAAAACCUUCCUUGAGUACAGGAAUAAGAAGUCGAAGGAGAGGAAAAAUUUCUCUUGCCAUAAGAAAAGUAUUAAGAAGAAGGAGCAGAAAAAAGUACAGGUAAGCAGCGUAGCGCUAUUAGCUGUAGUUAUUUUACAUUCGUGCAGAUGCCCUUGUUAUAUGCACAUUAUAUACAAUUAAAUAGAACACAAAUAGAUACUGGUUUCUCACUGAGCCCUAACACCUUCCAUACUAUAGCCACCUCAUAAUAUCAGUUAAUAAAAAGUCAAAAGAUAAAUACAAUAAUGAUUCAUCUACACAUUUCCUAAGUACCAACAAAGCAAUAAUGUUUGUUAAAAUAUAAGUAUGGAUAGGAGAAUAGCUUUAUCAUGAUGUCCAUAUGAUUUAAUUGGGGUGAUCCGUCAAAUUGGGACAGAACCAGGUUCAGUCCCCUGCAAACCCACCCCCCAGAACCGCCCCUGUAAGUAUUGUACACUUCAGGUUAUUAGCACUGCACAAUAUUUUAUGUAUGAGUUAUGUACCGAUUGACACCUGAUUUUCUUUGUACAGACAAAUAUUGGAGUCAUGCGCCUUCAAGAUGAUGACGAAGAGUGCACUGGACUGCAGCUAUUGACCCAUUCUCUGUUCCGCAGUCUGUUCGCAGUCUCAUGGGAAUGACGCCAACACUAGCAAUACAGUUAAUAAAGUUGUCUUUUAUUA